rnacentral:rRNA from 1 species
AACCUUUAGACAAACAAAUAUUAAAGGCAACGCCUGCCCAGUGAACAAUUAAACGGCCGCGGUACCCUAACCGUGCAAAGGUAGCAUAAUCAUUUGUCUACUAAUUAUAGACCAGCAUGAAAGGCAAAAUGAGGGUCUAACUGUCUCUUAUAAUAAGUCAAUGAAACUGAUCUCCUAGUUAAAAAGCUAGAAUUACAACAUAAGACCAGAAGACCCUGUGAAGCUUAAACUAAACUAUUAAACCAAAUAAUAACUACUUUCGGUUGGGGCGACCUUGGAAAAAAAAAGAACUUCCAAACACCAUGAUCUUUACCUCAUACAAAUAGGCCCACAAGCCAACAACGACCCAGCAUAGCUGAAAACUGAACCAAGUUACUCCAGGGAUAACAGCGCAAUCUUCUUCAAGAGCCCAUAUCAAAAAGCAAGGUUUACGACCUCGAUGUUGGAUCAGGACAUCCUAAUGGUGCAGCCGCUAUUAAGGGUUCGUUUGUUCAACGAUUAAUAGUCCU